rnacentral:rRNA from 1 species
CUACGGGACGCAGCAGUAGGGAAUAUUGGGCAAUGGGCGCAAGCCUGACCCAGCAACGCCGCGUGCGCGAAGAAGGCCUUCGGGUCGUAAAGCGCUUUUCUGAGGGAUGAGAAAGGACAGUACCUCAGGAAUAAGCCUCGGCUAACUACGUGCCAGCAGCCGCGGUAAAACGUAGGAGGCGAGCGUUAUCCGGAUUUACUGGGCGUAAAGCGUGUGCAGGCGGUCUGGCAAGUUGGAUGUGAAAGCUCCCGGCUCAACUGGGAGAGGUCGUUCAAAACUACCGGACUAGAGUGUAUCAGAGGGAGAUGGAAUUCCCGGUGUAGUGGUGAAAUGCGUAGAUAUCGGGAGGAACACCAGUGGCGAAAGCGAUCUUCUGGGAUACUACUGACGCUCAGACACGAAAGCUAAGGUAGCGAACGGGAUUAGAUACCCGAGUAGUC